rnacentral:rRNA from 1 species
CCUACGGGGCGCAGCAGUGGGGGAUAUUGCACAAUGGGGGGAACCCUGAUGCAGCGACGCCGCGUGGGUGAAGAAGCGCCUCGGCGCGUAAAGCCCUGUCAGCAGGGAAGAAAAUGACGGUACCUGAAGAAGAAGCCCCGGCUAACUACGUGCCAGCAGCCGCGGUAAUACGUAGGGGGCAAGCGUUAUCCGGAUUUACUGGGUGUAAAGGGAGCGUAGACGGCAGUGCAAGUCUGAAGUGAAAGGCGGGGGCCCAACCCCCGGACUGCUUUGGAAACUGUGCUGCUGGAGUGCAGGAGAGGCAA